rnacentral:rRNA from 1 species
UGGAUUAGGCGUGCAAGUCGUGCGCGAAAGUGGUAGCAAUACUGCGAGUAGAGCGGCGAACUGGUGAGUACAAGGUGAAUAACGUGCCCUCGAGUUGGGGAUAACCCCGGGAAACCGGAGCUAAUACCGGAUAGUCUCACUGACCGCAAGGAAUGUGAGUAAAGCAGCAAUGCGCUUGAGGAUCGGUUCACCUCCCAUUAGCUAGUUGGUGGGGUAAUGGCCCACCAAGGCUACGAUGGGUAGCUGGACUGAGAGGUUGACCAGCCACACUGGGACUGAGAUACGGCCCAGACUCCUACGGGGGGCAGCAGUCUAGAGGCUUCGUCAAUGCCCGAAAGGGUGAACGAGCGACGCCGCGUGCGGGAUGAAGGGCUUCGGCUUGUAAACCGCUUUUCUUUGGAAAGAAGGCCCUGAUCGUGAAUCAGGGAUUGACGGUACCAGGGGAAUAAGCCCCGGCUAACUCCGUGCCAGCAGCCGCGGUAAGACGGAGGGGGCAAGCGUUGUUCGGAAUUAUUGGGCGUAAAGGGCUCGUAGGCGGACCGGUGUGUCUGGCGUGAAAUCUCCACUGCUUAACAGGGAGGGGCCGCUGGAAACUGCCGAUCUUGAGUAUGGUAGAGGACCAUGGAAUUUCGGGUGUAGCGGUGGAAUGCGUAGAUAUCCGAAAGAACACCGGUGGCGAAGGCGGUGGUCUGGACCAAAACUGACGCUGAGGAGCGAAAGCCAGGGGA